rnacentral:rRNA from 1 species
CCUACGGGAGGCAGCAGUGGGGAAUAUUGCACAAUGGGGGAAACCCUGAUGCAGCGACGCCGCGGGAGUGAAGAAGUAAUUCGUUAUGUAAAGCUCUAUCAGUAGGGAAGAAAAUGACGGUACCUGAGUAAGAAGCCCCGGCUAACUACGACCCAGCAGCCGCGGUAAGACGGAGGGGGCAAGCGUUAUCUGGAUUUACGGGGUGUAAAGGGAGCGUAGACGGCAGUGCAAGUCUGGAGUGAAAGGCGGGGGCUCAACCCCCGGACUGCUCUGGAAACUGUACGGCUGGAGUGCAGGAGAGGUAAGUGGAAUUCCUAGUGUAGCGGUGAAAUGCGUAGAUAUUAGGAGGAACACCAGUGGCGAAGGCGGCUUACUGGACUGUAACUGACGUUGAGGCUCGAAAGCGUGGGGAGCAAACAGGAUUAGAUACUCUAGUAGUC